rnacentral:lncRNA from 1 species
CAUCAAAUGUUAAAAGGUGGGGAGAAGAGCCAAAGUAAUUAGAGAUGGACACUGCUGGGGCCUGACCGCUACGUCAUUGCCGUGAAACCAACAAAAGGCAGAGACUGUGAAAGACAGUAAGACACCUUUUUUCUUCGUCCGGAUAUAAAGCUACUGGGCCUUAAAUAACAUAAAACUCCACUGUGAAUGUGAAAGGCGACAUGCUCUGAAUUGUCAGCCCUCCACGACAUUUAUGCCCCGCCGGGAGGAUGGUAUGUGUUGGGGGUUUUCGUAUAUAAAGACACAGCUGAAAAUGGGCUUUUUAUCUAAAUGAACAGACUGAGGCCAUUCAAAGUCAGAAGAAUUGGAGGGCCAGAGGGAAGGAGUGGAGAGAAGUAACGGGGUAGGGGGUAAAUAAAGAAGGAAUCAAUGACUUUCGGAUAAACUAGAAUGUUUUUAUUGUCAGAUGGUGUUGAAAAAUCCCUGUAGAGGUUUUCCCAGCAGAGGCUGAUGUGGAAACCAAGAGCUGGAGCAGGAGGGUGGACGAUCUUAACCUGCAGGGCAGCAGGAGCACCAGCUGGACCUGAGGUGCACACAGCCCUGAGGCAGGGGGACAGCCAUUUACAGGAGGUGGACAAGCUUCACAUCAGAAAAAACUGGCUCCACAUCUGAUUGACUCUUUCUAACCUAGAUGGUCCCGUUCUGAAGACAGAGCUUCAGAAGCCCUACAGCACAGCACCGCCUCUUCUCAUCAGCUACCUCCCGGCCUCUGCUCCUGCAGGAUGCGGACCUCCUGGAAGAGAUUUAGGGAGCGUCCGGACUCACAGCAACAGCUGUGGAGGAGUUCAGCCUUCUCUCACAAGCAUAGAAAGACAACCAUCGAUGAAAAGACUAGAGCCCACCAGCAAAGAUCUUCUAUAACUAAAGACAUAAAGGAGGAACCAUGAUGAGACAGGUAGGAAUGAUGCAUUCAUGAUAUAAGUCCCAUAUCCCCAGGUGGGUGACCCACAAAUUGGAGAAUAAUUACAUUGCAGAGGUUCUCCCACAGAAGUGAGUUUGGAGCCCCAUGUCAGCCUCCCCAGCUCAAAGAUCCUGCACUGGGAAGAUGAGCCCCCAGAGAAUUUGCCUUUGAAGGUCAGGAGGGCUUAAUAUUGAGUAACAGAGGAUGGGGCAUAGGUGUGGGGAGGGGAG